GUUGACAGCAGAGAAACUAAAAGAAAAGUCAGAUUUCAGGAACUCUCAGUCCUGGACCAGCGACACUGGCGCCCUCAGAGACUAUUAUUACUAUCCACAGCUUCCAUAGAUUUUAGAGUCCCCCCCCUCCCCUCCCCCCCACCGGCAUUGUCUCUUUUGAUCCUAUUGACAUAGACAAGAAUUCGGCUAAGCCUCCAGAGAUGAUGGGGAAGGAGAAGUCAGGCUGACAGAUGAAGGGAAGUUUCUAAAAGAGAAGGGGCUACAACCCAUUGUGACACCGGAGGGGGCGAAGAAGACUGUGCUGGAGGAAGGGAGGAAGGCCGAGUCCUCCAGAGGAGAGCCCAGGCCCCAGUCACCUUUCCGGUCCCAGACACGGCGCAGACCCUCCGCCAGGUGCUGCUCGGAUCAGACUUCAAAAAGUAAUGGUUUCUAUUUGCGGCCUUCGCUUUCUCAGCUUCUGCUCACUCUCCAGGCUCCUGACUGUGUCUGCUGUCCCCACAUAGACUCUUUGAGGCAUAAGCCCACCCACCAUCUCCUGGUCCUCCUCGAGCCCGGCGUGGACACCCCCUCUUUAAGUAACACUCCCUGACCUCCACAGGAGCUGAGAUGUCCCUUCUUGGUGUCUUCGGGGAAACGCUGGCCUCUCCUGGCCUCCCUGAUUCUCCCUCUUACUCUCUGACCAGUUUUUGUCUCCUGCGGGGCUUCUGUUCCAUCAGCUCUGAAGAAUGGGCUCUCCCCUAGCCCCGGGCUUCUGUCUUUGGACUGUGGUCCCUCGACUCCCUGCCCAUGCGGGACCUCACUCUCCCCAAAGCUUUAUUUACCACCCAAACUUCUAAGGACCCCCAGCCUUUAUUUCUGACCCUAAAUUCUCCCCUGACCUCUGGAUCCAUGUCUUACAUUUCCUGUAGGAUUUCUCUUUCUGGAUGUCCUUACAACCCUUCCAUCUUAGAAUAAAUAUAUAACUUGA